UACGUAGGGUGCAAGCGUUGUCCGGAUUUAUUGGGCGUAAAGAGCUCGUAGGCGGUUUGUCGCGUCUGCCGUGAAAGUCCGGGGCUCAACUCCGGAUCUGCGGUGGGUACGGGCAGACUAGAGUGAUGUAGGGGAGACUGGAAUUCCUGGUGUAGCGGUGGAAUGCGCAGAUAUCAGGAGGAACACCGGUGGCGAAGGCGGGUCUCUGGGCAGUAACUGACGCUGAGGAGCGAAAGCGUGGGGAGCGAACAGG
rnacentral:rRNA from 1 species